GACGAACGCUGGCGGCGUGCCUAAUACAUGCGAGUCGAACGAAGCUGUUUUAACUGGUGCUUGCACCGACUUAAACAACUGAGUGGCGAACGGGUGAGUAACACGUGGGUAACCUGCCCCAAAGCGGGGGAUAACAUUUGGAAACAGAUGCUAAUACCGCAUAACCACAGAAACCACAUGGUUUCUGUGUCAAAGAUGGUUUCGGCUAUCACUUUGUGAUGGACCCGCGGCGUAUUAGCUAGUUGGUAAGGUAAUGGCUUACCAAGGCAAUGAUACGUAGCCGAACUGAGAGGUUGAUCGGCCACAUUGGGACUGAGACACGGCCCAAACUCCGACGGGAGGCAGCGGUAGGGAAUCUUCCACAAUGGACGAAAGUCUGAUGGAGCAACGCCGCGUGAGUGAAGAAGGUUUUCGGAUCGUAAAACUCUGUUGUCAGAGAAGAACGUGUGCGAGAGUAACUGUUCGUGCAGUGACGGUAUCUGGCCAGAAAGCCACGGCUAACUACGUGCCAGCCGCCGCAGUAA
rnacentral:rRNA from 1 species